UCCUGGCUCAGGACGAACGCUGGCGGCGUGCCUAAUACAUGCAAGUCGUACGCUUCUUUUUCCACCGGAGCUUGCUCCACCGGAAAAAGAAGAGUGGCGAACGGGUGAGUAACACGUGGGUAACCUGCCCAUCAGAAGGGGAUAACACUUGGAAACAGGUGCUAAUACCGUAUAACAAUCGAAACCGCAUGGUUUUGAUUUGAAAGGCGCUUUCGGGUGUCGCUGAUGGAUGGACCCGCGGUGCAUUAGCUAGUUGGUGAGGUAACGGCUCACCAAGGCCACGAUGCAUAGCCGACCUGAGAGGGUGAUCGGCCACAUUGGGACUGAGACACGGCCCAAACUCCUACGGGAGGCAGCAGUAGGGAAUCUUCGGCAAUGGACGAAAGUCUGACCGAGCAACGCCGCGUGAGUGAAGAAGGUUUUCGGAUCGUAAAACUCUGUUGUUAGAGAAGAACAAGGAUGAGAGUAACUGUUCAUCCCUUGACGGUAUCUAACCAGAAAGCCACGGCUAACUACGUGCCAGCAGCCGCGGUAAUACGUAGGUGGCAAGCGUUGUCCGGAUUUAUUGGGCGUAAAGCGAGCGCAGGCGGUUUCUUAAGUCUGAUGUGAAAGCCCCCGGCUCAACCGGGGAGGGUCAUUGGAAACUGGGAGACUUGAGUGCAGAAGAGGAGAGUGGAAUUCCAUGUGUAGCGGUGAAAUGCGUAGAUAUAUGGAGGAACACCAGUGGCGAAGGCGGCUCUCUGGUCUGUAACUGACGCUGAGGCUCGAAAGCGUGGGGAGCAAACAGGAUUAGAUACCCUGGUAGUCCACGCCGUAAACGAUGAGUGCUAAGUGUUGGAGGGUUUCCGCCCUUCAGUGCUGCAGCUAACGCAUUAAGCACUCCGCCUGGGGAGUACGACCGCAAGGUUGAAACUCAAAGGAAUUGACGGGGGCCCGCACAAGCGGUGGAGCAUGUGGUUUAAUUCGAAGCAACGCGAAGAACCUUACCAGGUCUUGACAUCCUUUGACCACUCUAGAGAUAGAGCUUCCCCUUCGGGGGCAAAGUGACAGGUGGUGCAUGGUUGUCGUCAGCUCGUGUCGUGAGAUGUUGGGUUAAGUCCCGCAACGAGCGCAACCCUUAUUGUUAGUUGCCAUCAUUYAGUUGGGCACUCUAGCAAGACUGCCGGUGACAAACCGGAGGAAGGUGGGGAUGACGUCAAAUCAUCAUGCCCCUUAUGACCUGGGCUACACACGUGCUACAAUGGGAAGUACAACGAGUCGCGAAGUCGCGAGGCUAAGCUAAUCUCUUAAAGCUUCUCUCAGUUCGGAUUGUAGGCUGCAACUCGCCUACAUGAAGCCGGAAUCGCUAGUAAUCGCGGAUCAGCACGCCGCGGUGAAUACGUUCCCGGGCCUUGUACACACCGCCCGUCACACCACGAGAGUUUGUAACACCCGAAGUCGGUGAGGUAACCUUUUGGAGCCAGCCGCCUAAGGUGGGAUAGAUGAUUGGGGUGAAGUCGUAA
rnacentral:rRNA from 1 species